GUGCCAGCCGCCGCGGUAAUACCGGCAGCACGAGUGAUGGCCGCUAUUAUUGGGCCUAAAGCGUCCGUAGCCGGCCGGGCAAGUCCGUCGGGAAAUCCACCCGCUUAACGGGUGGGCGUCCGGCGGAAACUGCACAGCUUGGGACCGGAAGGCUCGAAGGGUACGUUCGGGGUAGGAGUGAAAUCCCAUAAUCCCGCACGGACCACCGAUGGCGAAAGCACUUCGAGAAAACGGAUCCGACAGUGAGGGACGAAAGCCAGGGUCUCGAACCGGAUUAGAUACCCCGGUAGUCC
rnacentral:rRNA from 1 species